rnacentral:rRNA from 1 species
GCACAACGCGAAGAACCUUACCAAGGCUUGACAUGCAUCUCUAAGCGCGUGAAAGCGCGUGACUCUUCGGAGGAUUUGCACAGGUGCUGCAUGGCCGUCGUCAGCUCGUGUCGUGAGAUGUUGGGUUAAGUCCCGCAACGAGCGCGACCCCUGUGACUAGUUGCCAGCACGUUAUGGUGGGAACUCUAGUCAGACUGCCCAGACCAACUGGGAGGAAGGUGGGGACGACGUCAGGUCAGUAUGGCCCUUACGCCUAGGGCUGCACACGUACUACAAUGCCCAGCACAAUGAGAACCGAGACCGCGAGGUGGAGGAAAUCUAAAAAACUGGGCCCAGUUCGGAUUGGAGGCUGCAACUCGCCUCCAUGAAGUUGGAAUCGCUAGUAAUGGCGCAUCAUCUACGGCGCCGUGAAUACGUUCCCGGGUCUUGUACACACCG